rnacentral:rRNA from 1 species
AUUGAACGCUGGCGGCAGGCCUAACACAUGCAAGUCGAGCGGAGCGGCGGACGGGUGAGUAAUGCCUAGGAAUCUGCCUGGUCGUGGGGGAUAACGUCCGGAAACGGGCGCUAAUACCGCAUACUAUCAGAUGAGCCUAGGUCGGAUUAGCUAGUUGGUGGGGUAAAGGCCUACCAAGGCGAAGAUCCGUAACUGGUCUGAGAGGAUGAUGAGUAACAAGGGAACUGAGAAAGGGGACAGACGGCAAGGGGAGGCAGCAGUGGGGAAGAGUGGAAAAUGGGGGAAAGCCUGAGGCAGACAUGCCGCGUGUGUGAAGAAGGUAUGGGGAUUGAAAAGCACUGUAAGUUGGGAGGCGGUACCAACAGAAUAAGCACCGGCUAACUGCGUGCCAGCAGCCGCGGUAAUAC